rnacentral:rRNA from 1 species
GACAUAGGUUGCAAACGUUAUCCGGAAUUAUUGGGCGUAAAGGAUGCGUAGAUGGUUUGAUAAGUUAUCAGUGGCAAAUCGGGGCUCAACCUCGUGGAAGCUGAUAAUACUGUCAUACUUGAGUGCAGGAGAGGUUAACGGAACUCCAUGUGGAGCGGUAAAAUGCGUUGAUAUAUGGAAGAACACCGAUAAGGCGAAGGCAGUUAACUAUUCUGCUACUGACAUUGAGGCAUGAAAGCUAGGGGAGCAAACGGG